GUGACCUUUGAGGAUGUGGUCAUGAACUUCAGCAAUGAGGAGUGGGGUUUGCUGAGUCCAUCCCAAAAGAACCUCUACAGAGAUGUGAUGGGCGAAACCUUUAGGAACGUGACUACAAUAGAAAUGACAAGCUAGGGAAAUCCUAUGGACAUACAUCUUGGAAUCAGUGUAAAGAAGUAUUCCCUUGUACUGCAGAAGCUUCAAGUGUUGUUCCAAGUGAGGGAGCAAGUUCACCCAGAUUGGAUGGGAUUCCAGGCCUCGGCUGAACUUGCUGGCAAGGUAGGGAGUUUCCCCAGACUGGAAUUGGAAUCUGUUCCUCUGCCCCACUCGCUGGUCCCAGCAAGAAUCUGCGGGCUCAUCCCCAGGUGAGGAAGAGAGUUUCCCCAGACUGAAAAAGGAUUCUGUGCCUUGGCCUGACUCCCUGGUUCUGACUCACUGGUCCCAACUCACUGUUCCCAGUGGGCAACCACCUGGUCCCCAGGUGAGGAAGAGAGUUCCUCCAGACUGGGAUGGGAUUCUGUGCCUUGGCCUGACUCGCUGGUCCUGGCAGGAAACCACGGGUUCUACAUCAGGUUUGAUUAUUAACUGCUUUCACAUCCUACAACGUCUUCAAAGUUGUGUUUUUAUAAAAAUAGCUAUAUAAUGUUAUGCUUUAUUAUAUAGUCCCUGAUGAUGUGGACAAUUCUAUUGAAAAUAACAAGAGAAAGCAUAAUAAAUACUGUAUAUCACCUAA